UUGUUUCAGAUAUGGCACUAAAUUUGUCGACAGGCAGCAGUCCGAAAGACACUAAAAGGUGGCCCUCCCGACAGCCUGUAAAUUGCCAAUAUUGCGGAGUUCGCAUAUCGAUGGCUUUCAAUCUCCGAAAUCACGUCAAGCGAUGCAAAAUGCGGCCCUACAAUGCCAGCACGUACGAGCCCAUAUAACCACCAUCUCCUCUCCUAGCAAGGCAUAGCCAGAGGAUAACCCGUACGAGGCUCGUCCGUGCCCAGUGUGCCACAAGUUGAUCAGCAACCGUGCCAACCUCAAGAAGCACCUCAAGAUCAGACACUCGGCCCAGGAAGAGGCACUCUGUCUUUACUGUCGCAAGGUCUUCCGCAACAAGUACUCCUUAUGGACACACAUUAAUUCCUACCACCCAGGGGUCAAAUCUGCAAACCCAACUGUGUCAACUAACGCUCCUGAUGCUGCUGCUGUUGUUACAUUUUCAGGGGCAAGUGGGAGUCUAGGGAACUUCACAACAAGUAGCAGCAGCGGGAGUGGGAGUGGCUAUUUGGGAUAGUAAUGCUCAAUAUCAUGGCUAGCUUAGGCUCUAUAUGCUCACCAUUCAAAAUGACAUAGUCCAGUAAUUUACUAAUUACAGAGAACUUCAUCAGGUUCUUGUGUUACAGGAAAUUCCACAUUAGCAGUCUCACUUCACACAUGAAUCAAUAUUUAAAAAGGUAGUUUUUCAAAUAUAAUUAAAUGUAAUAGAAUACUUAAGGAGUACUUGACCGUGGAAAGGGGUGUCUUUCUUAGCAAGAGCAGGUGUAGGGUUUUACUUAAUGAAGCACUGUACGGGUCCUAGGUUUUUGUCCCUACACCUGGAGACUUGAUCACUGUGCCCACAUUACACAGUUCACUGUUACGCUGUAUGUGCAGGUAUGUUCAUCAGGUUUAUCAGUCAACGCUCUACCUCAGUUUUAUAUCAGUAGUAGCUUGUAAACACAGCCACUGACCACAAUUUUAAUACAAAGUCAUUGAUAUGGAGGUUCAUAAAAUAAGCCAUCUAAGUGAUAUGUACAUCUUAUAUGGCGGUCAUGUCCUCUGUCAGACAGCAAGUCUACAGAGAAAAUUCAGAAAAAAAAAGAGGUUUUGUUUACAAGUAUGAACUCCGCAAAACUUCAGACAUUAAGCCACUCUUGAGAAGAAGGUGGUAAGCACCUUGGUCCUGUGCCCCUCCUAACCCCCCAUCCACCAGAUUGUCUGGUGGUCGUGCUGUGAUGCAGAUAUCUUGUCCUCAAAAUGCAGGGAGACAAACGCUAAUGACAUGUUUUUCUGGCGGUUCUGAUGGAAGUUUUUUAUUUUCCUCUACGAAAUGUGAUUCAGGUCGUCCAGAGGCUCUAAAGGAGGUGUUGGUAGAAGACAGAGUUUAGGAUGUCAUCUUAGAUAUACAUAGUGUUGAGUAUCAAGUUAGAAAUAUCUCAUAUAGUAGCUCAAUACUCUGAUAAACCAACGACUCCUUGGAGCUUGUACGGCGUCCCAGCGACCUCAGCAACUGGCUUUCAGGAAUGUUUUGUAAACUCCAAUAAUGUUAGGAAGGAAGCAAGUACACUGACAGCACUACGUUGGUACUGUUUGUAUAAUAAUAAUAAUAAUAAUGAUAAUGUUUAUUAUUAUAAUGAUGUAAUAAUGAUAAUGAUGCUGAUAAUAAUGAUAACCUGGAGGAUCCUAGAAUGCUCAAACUACUGUACAAACCUCUUACCUCAUCAUCAUAACUCACAAGCUUCUGUUCUGUAGCCCCAUCAUUCUUUUGGUUUCCACAUCGUUAAAAUGAUUUUACCAUUUGCCUGACUUCGGAAAAAGGAAUCACUUCUACUACCAAUUUGAUGCAUAUAUGCAACAACAGUUAUGCAUAAAUUUAAUAGUGCAUUUACAUUCACUUAUGUGUUGGAUGCUUCAAUCCAUAUUAAAAAAAAAAAAAAAUCUUUAAUACCUGAAAAAUACAUUCAUGUGUGUGUUUGUGUGUCUCUGUGUGUGGUGUGUGAUUUAGUGUGCAUCUAUGUGUGGUGUGUGUGUAUGUGUUUAUACACAUUCACUCAUACUCACAGUCACACUCUCACUCACUCACAUUCUCACACUUGUACUCAUACCCACACUCAUGCUCACUCUCACAUCUACUCUGCUUCUUACAUUUACUUGUAAUCUUACUCUUAAAACACACUUACACUCAUACUUAAGCAUUCACACUCACUCUUAUUCUUACUCUUACUUUUUUCUUAUUUGCACUCUCACUCUUACUCUCAUUCUCUCUGUAACACUAACACUAACAUUAAUACUAAUAGUUCUCACACACACACACACACACACACACACACACACACACACACACACACACACACACACACACACACACACACACACACACACACACACACACACUAUCCUCCCUCCCUCCCUCCCUCCCUUCUUCCUUCCCUACUUUCCUGACUCCCUACCUCCCAACUUACCUCAUCCUCCAUCCUCACUCUCCCUCGCU